UAUGGCAGAUUAGUGCAAAGGAUUUAAAUUCCUUAUAUAAAGAUUUUCAUUUUUUAUUAAAA
rnacentral:tRNA from 1 species